rnacentral:rRNA from 1 species
UAGGGAAUCUUCGGCAAUGGACGAAAGUCUGACCGAGCAACGCCGCGUGAGUGAAGAAGGUUUUCGGAUCGUAAAACUCUGUUGUUAGAGAAGAACAAGGACGUUAGUAACUGAACGUCCCCUGACGGUAUCUAACCAGAAAGCCACGGCUAACUACGUGCCAGCAGCCGCGGUAAUACGUAGGUGGCAAGCGUUGUCCGGAUUUAUUGGGCGUAAAGCGAGCGCAGGCGGUUUCUUAAGUCUGAUGUGAAAGCCCCCGGCUCAACCGGGGAGGGUCAUUGGAAACUGGGAGACUUGAGUGAAAAAGAGGAGAGUGGAAUUCCAUGUGUAGCGGUGAAAUGCGUAGAUAUAUGGAGGAACACCAGUGGCGAAGGCGGCUCUCUGGUCUGUAACUGACGCUGAGGCUCGAAAGCGUGGGGAGCAAACAGG